rfam:Alligator_sinensis, whole genome shotgun sequence
GGGGAUUUAGCUCAGGUGGUCGAGUGCUUGCUUUGCAUGUGAGAGGUGGUGGGAUCAAUACCCACAUUCUCCA